AAUAAUCGCUCUCAUGUACAUUUGUUAAAAGAUAUGGAAAUUAGUAGUGCAAAAGAUUUGAAAAACUUUUUGCGAAUGGAUGCAACUACUUAUGGAAUUCUUCUGAGCAGAAUAACUCCUGCAAUACAGAAGAAAAACACUAUAAUGCGGGAUGCAAUUACGCCAAAUGAGAGGUUAUCUGCAACAUUAAGGUUCCUUGCUUCUGGACAAACCUACGAAGAUUUAAAAUUCUUAACAAAUAUUUCAGCCCAAUGCCUUGGAAAAAUUAUUUUAGAGACCUGUGAAGCUAUAGUUGCUCAAUUAAAGCCAUUUAUUGAAAUGCCAAAUAAUGCCGAGGAAUGGAAAAUAAUUGCAGCCGAAUUUGAAAGUAAGUGGAAUUACAACCACUGCAUAGGUGCUAUUGAUGGAAAGCACGUCAAUAUAAUAAAACCAGCUAAAUCCGGAUCUUAUUACUAUAAUUACAAAAAACAAUUUAGCAUAGUACUGAUGGCGAUAGUCAGCGCAAUUUAUGAGUUUUUAGCAGUAGAGGUCGGCAUGAAUGGAAGAGCUUCUGAUUCUGGGAUAUUUGGGCAAUAAAAAUUUAAAUACAAAUAUGAUAAAGGCCUCCUGAACCUUCCACAACCAGAAAAAUUGUCACUUUCUGAGGAUAUUCUACCUUAUGUGCUUGUUGGAGAUGACGCAUUUCCUCUUUUAGAAAAUUUAAUGAAACCUUAUAGUCGUCGCAAUUUAAAUGUAGAAGAGCAAAUAUUUAAUUACCGAUUAUCUAGAGCACGCCGUGUUGUUGAAAACUCAUUUGGAAUUUUAGCAAAUCGUUUCAGAAUUUUACAUACAACUAUGAAUUUGGACCCCGAAAAAAGUGCUAAAAUAACACUUGCAUGUUGCUAUUUGCAUAAUUUCUUAAUAAAAACAAACUCAUCUGUUUACUUAAGAAAUGAUGUAAACAAUGAUUGUGUCCACUUGGAAGACAUGCAGCCGACGAACUAUGGAAAUAUAACACAAAAUUCUGCAAACAUUCGUAACAAAUUUUGUAACUAUUUUAAUACAGUUGGAGCCGUUGAGUGGCAAAAUAAAUUUCUAUAAAAUGUGAAAAUAAAACUUUAUAAUGUACAA